GUAUUUAAUGGCACAAUUCAGAUUUAUAUAAAAUACCAGUGACACUGAGCUGGUUUGAUAAACAGUAAUAGUAUAUUUUAAUUCAGUCAAUUUGUAAUGACGUAUAUGCAUAACUUAUAUGCCUCCAUAAUCACAUUAUUGAGAUUCUAAUACAGAGGAUUAUGUUCCGAUCCGCCUUGCACUAUUUUCACCGGCUAGCAGCUGAUCACCUCGGUCAAGAGUUUGUACCGUCUCACUUUCACCCUAAACCUUGCCUUCCCCACGGCAGCCAGCGGCUUCCUCUCCUUCGCCGUCGCCGCCGCUGUCUCCUCCACAAGCAUCACCCCGGCCUUGGGCUUUUUCACCGGUUUGCCAGGCUCCGCAAGGAAGGCCGACCUCGAGCAGCCAGCACCGCCACACGAGCGCCCACUCUUACCCGCCUCAGAAUCGACCACCUCCGACGACGACGCAUGCGCAGAUAUCCUCCCCCGUUUCGCCGCCGGGGAGCCCACCCUCCUACCCUCUCCCCCCCCCCCCCCCCCCGCCGGUCCCCCGCCACUCUCGGGUAGAGCUCACUGCAGUAUCUACAAAAAGGAGUCCACACAUGCAUAAAUACGCAAGAUAGAGUCGAUCGGAUCAACAGAUAGUUCUUCCUAUUAGUUACCUGUGUUGGAGCCGGCGGCGGCAGUGGCCGCAGCGGAACAGCUCGUGCCGCGGCGCCGGCGCCGGAGCCGGAGCCAGGAGACUCCAUGGUGAAGAGAGAUGAAGGGACUGUGCAUCGAAGCAGCCGGUGAAGCCGGAAGCCAAGC
rnacentral:lncRNA from 1 species